rnacentral:rRNA from 1 species
GAGGAACGCUGGCGGCGUGCUUAACACAUGCAAGUCGAACGAGGUCCAACCUUCGGGUGAAGACCUAGUGGCGAACGGGUGAGUAACACGUGGGUAACCUGCCCCUCUCUCUGGGAUAACCCCCGGAAACGGGAGCUAAUACCGGAUACUUCGAUCGGGUCGCAUGGCCUGAUCGAGAAAGCUCCGGCGGAGAGGGAUGGACCCGCGGCCCAUUAGCUUGUUGGUGAGGCAACGGCUCACCAAGGCGACGAUGGGUAGCCGAGCUGAGAGGCUGAUCGGCCACACUGGGACUGAGACACGGCCCAGACUCCUACGGGGGGGAGCAGUGGGGAAUCUUGCGCAAUGGGCGAAAGCCUGACGCAGCAGCGCCGCGGGUGGGAUGAAGGCCCUCGGGUCGUAAACCACUUUCAGCAGGGACGAAAUUGACUGUACCUGCAGAAGAAGCUCCGGCUAACUACGUGCCAGCCGCCGCGGUAAAAC